rnacentral:rRNA from 1 species
GAUGAACGCUGGCGGCGUGCCUAAUACAUGCAAGUCGAGCGAACAGAUGAGGAGCUUGCUCCUCUGACGUUAGCGGCGGACGGGUGAGUAACACGUGGAUAACCUACCUAUAAGACUGGGAUAACUUCGGGAAACCGGAGCUAAUACCGGAUAAUAUAUUGAACCGCAUGGUUCAAUAGUGAAAGACGGUUUUGCUGUCACUUAUAGAUGGAUCCGCGCCGCAUUAGCUAGUUGGUAAGGUAACGGCUUACCAAGGCAACGAUGCGUAGCCGACCUGAGAGGGGGAGCGGCCACACUGGAGAUGAGACACGGGCCAGACUCCUACGGGAGGCAGCAGUAGGGAAUCUUCCGCAAAGGGCGAAAACCUGAAGGAGCAACGCCGCGGGAGGGAUGAAGGGUUUCGGAUCGUAAAAACCUGUUAAUAGGGAAGAAAAAAUGUGGAAGGAAAUGUGCAAAGCUUGACGGGACCUAAACAAAAAGCCACGGAUAAAUAAGGG